rnacentral:rRNA from 1 species
AUUAAGCCAUGCAUGUGUAAGUAUUAAUGAGAGUUUAAUAGUGAAACUGCGAAUGGCUCAAUAAAACAGUUAUAGUUUAUUCGAUGAUAUCGAGGUUAUUUGGGAAUAACCGCAGUAAUUCUGGGGCUAAUACAUGCUUAAAAGGGAAAUAUUUCAAAUUAAAAAAAGGAUAUUUUACCUGUAUUUAUUAGACUUGAAAAUCGGAAAGAACCGUCAAAAAGUUCUUUUAUACUGUAGUUGAAUCAUAAUAACUCAAAGAAUUCUAUUCACGUAGAAUUUGACAAACGAAUCGUAUGACCUUUUGUGUUGACGAUAAAUCGUUCAAGUUUCUGACCUAUCGAUUCAAGAAGGUAGUGUAUUGGACCACCUUGAUUGUAACGGGUACGGAGAAUUAGGGUUCGAUUCCGGAGAGGGAGCCUGAGAAACGGCUACCACACCUAUGGAAGGCAGCAGGCGCGAAAAUUAUCCAAUCCUGAUUCAGGGAGGUAGUGAAAGAAAUAAUGAACUAGGAUUUAUCCUGGGAUCACAAUGGGCUUGAUUUGCAAACACUUAGCGAGGAACAAUUGGAGGGCAAGUCUGGUGCCAGCAGCCGCGGUAAUUCCAGCUCCAAUAGAGUAUAUAAACGUUCCUGCAGUUAUUCGAUGCUCGUAGUUGGAUUUCUGAGGUUGAGACGGGAGGGUGGCUAUGGCCAUCGCCCGACUCUUUCCUCAUCCACCUGUUUGCGAAGUCCGGGAUUGAUUUCUCGGCUUCGGGCGCAGUAUCUUACCAUUUCAAUAUUCGUAGUCUUCAUCGAUUAUGUUGUUUCUUUGAGCAAAUUAUAGUGUUUCAGGCAGGCGUGCGCCGGAAUACAUUAGCAUGGUAUAAACGAAUUGGACCGUGUGCCCGUAACUGGGCUUCUCCUUAUUGUUGGUUUGAAGGACACGGAGAUGGUUAAUAGGGACAGCGUUUAUUUCACAAGGAGGCAUUAGUAUUUAAUUUCCAGAGGUGAAAUUCUUUGAAAUAUUAAAGACUAACUUAUGCGAAAGCAUCGUUUGCCAAUGAUGUUUUCAUUAAUCAAGAACGAAAGUUAGGGGAUCGAAGACGAUUAGAUACCGUCGUAGUCUUAACUAUAAACGAUGCCGACCAAGUUUUCGAGGAAUUCUAUUGUUAUCCCCGGCUGUAGCGAUACAGCUGGGGAUAAAAGAUUCUCCGAGCGCUUUGUGAGAAAUCACAAGUAUUUGGGUUCCGGGGGGAGUAUGAUCGCAAGGUUGAAACUUAAAGGAAUUGACGGAGAGGCACCACCAGGAGUGGAACCUGCGGCUUAAUUUGACUCAACACGGGGAAACUUACCGCGUCCAGAUGUAAGAAGGAUUGACAGAUUGAAGAUCUUUCUUGAUUCUAUGGGUGGUGGUGCAUGGCCGUUCUUAGUUGGUGGAGUGAUUUGUCUGGUUAAUUCCGUUAACGAACGAGACCUCGACCUGCUAAAUAGUCCACGGAAUCUUUCGAUUCUCGUGUUACUUCUUAGAGGGACUAUCGGUUUGUAGCCGAUGGAAGUUCGAGGCAAUAACAGGUCUGUGAUGCCCUUAGAUGUUCUGGGCUGCACGUGCGCUACACUGAUACGUUCAUCGAGCUUACAACCUUGACCGAGAGGUCUGGGUAAUCUUAAAAUGCGUAUCGUGAUGGGGAUAGAUUAUUGUAAUUUUUGAUCUUCAACGAGGAAUUCCUAGUAAACGCGCGUCAAUAACGCGCAUUGAUUACGUCCCUGCCCUUUGUACACACCGCCCGUCGCUACUACCGAUUGGAUCGUUUAGUGAGGUCCACGGACUAUUUGCUCUUGGUUGGUUCGCCUUCCUUUAGCAUUUGGGAAGUGGAACAAACUUGACGAUCUAGAGGAAGUAAAA